AUUGAACGCUGGCGGCAUGCUUUACACAUGCAAGUCGAGCGGUAACAGGCCUUCGGGUGCUGACGAGUGGCGAACGGGUGCGUAAUGCAUCGGAACGUACCCAGAGGUGGGGGAUAACGCAGCGAAAGCUGUGCUAAUACCGCAUGUGAUCUGAGGAUGAAAGCGGGGGACCGAGCAGCAAUGUUUGGCCUCGCGCCUUUGGAGCGGCCGAUGUCGGAUUAGCUAGUUGGUGGGGUAAAGGCCUACCAAGGCGACGAUCCGUAGCUGGUCUGAGAGGACGACCAGCCACACUGGGACUGAGACACGGCCCAGACUCCUACGGGAGGCAGCAGUGGGGAAUUUUGGACAAUGGGCGCAAGCCUGAUCCAGCAAUGCCGCGUGCGGGAAGAAGGCCUUCGGGUUGUAAACCGCUUUUGGCAGGAACGAAACGGUGUCCGCUAAUACCGGGCGCUAAUGACGGUACCUGCAGAAUAAGCACCGGCUAACUACGUG
rnacentral:rRNA from 1 species